AGUUAUAUGCUUGUCUCAAAGAUUAAGCCAUGCAUGUCUAAGUACACACUCUCGAACAGUGAAACCGCAAAAGGCUCAGUAUAUCAGUUAUGAUUUAUUAGAUCGUAUACAUAGUUACAUGGAUAACUGUGGUAAUUCUAGAGCUAAUACAUGCAAAUAAUCACGGACCGCAAGGAACGUGUGCUUUUAUUAGAUUAAAAUCAAUCGAUACAUUAAGGUAUAUUUUUAUACUGUAUCGUUUAUAAGAUGAAUCUGAAUAACAUGUAGAUCGCAUGGUCCCGUACCGGCGAUAGAUCUUUCAAAUGUCUGCCCUAUCAACUAUUGAUGGUAGUAUCUAGGACUACCAUGGUUGCAACGGGUAACGGGGAAUCAGGGUUCGAUUCCGGAGAGGGAGCCUGAGAAACGGCUACCACAUCUAAGGAAGGCAGCAGGCGCGUAAAUUACCCAAUCCCAGCACGGGGAGGUAGUGACGAAAAAUAACAAUACAGGACUCAAUCCGAGGCCCUGUAAUUGGAAUGAGUACACUUUAAAUCCUUUAACAAGGAACAAUUGGAGGGCAAGUCUGGUGCCAGCAGCCGCGGUAAUUCCAGCUCCAAUAGCGUAUAUUAAAGUUGUUGCGGUUAAAACGUUCGUAGUUGAACUUGUGUCAAGCACAGGUGGUACACCGUAACUGGGUUCGUACAUCAUCUUGAUGCUAUGACGUAUUACUGUAGUGGUUAGACGUAAGUUUAUCCGCGUAAUAAAUCUAUAUUGGUGCUCUUUACCGAGUGCUGGUCUAGAACAGUACAAUUACUUUGAACAAAUUAGAGUGCUUAAAGCAGGCCAUUUGUGCCUAAAUAUUCUCUGCAUGGAAUAAUGGAAUAAGACGUCUGUUCUAUUUUCAAUUGGUUUUUAGAUCAAGACG
rnacentral:rRNA from 1 species